CAAAGCAAACACUCUUAGCUUGGAGAACAGGAAUAGACCUUGAAUGCAGGCAAGGGAGUUUUUCUUCGGGUUCCCUGUCCCCCCUCUCCGGGAACUCUUUCUGACAGAUCCCUCCUGGGCCCACUUCAGCGCUCCUGUGAAACACUCCCCGAGCAGUGCCAAUCACCCUUACCGUCUUCCUGGACCAUUUUUGUCUUUCUAUCUAGACUGCAUUUAUAUUUUGCCCACCGUUACAGCCUCAGGGGUCUUGCAGAGUCAUUGGAAAAUGUCGGGAGCAGCACUAACAGGAAGCCACAGGACCAGUCGCCCCGGGAAGGCCUGAGUGCGGAGACAGCCGGGAGCAGACGCAAUGAAAUGAAGCAUCACUCUGGUGAUAGAAACACCCAAGGCUCCAGGGACCACCAUUUUGUCUUGAGAGGAAAACCAGCUUCCUCCUUCAGCACAGAGGGGUCUCACAACUCCAACUACCACCACUGGCUUGAAUGUUUCAAAUCAAAACAUUCCCCAAACCACAGCCCUCGGGUGAGAUGCAGGUCUGGCCAAGACUUUGGAGGAAAAACAAGCCCCCACCAGCCUGGAAACCACUGGGUACACAGGAGGCUGGGUCACCUUGCUCACCAAAGCUGGGAGCCUGAGCAUUUUUACCAGUUAAUCUGAUAAAGCCGCCUUUCCUACCAAUGCCUGCCUCUACUUCCCCUCUGUCCCAGGAAAUAAGACCAUUCCCAGGACAGAGGGCCUCGGGGAGCAGGGUACAGGGCACAGAGUAGGACAGCCUAGGGCACCUGGAGGACCGGGGCUACUCCCUUGUUAACUGGAAAAAAAAAAAAAGGAGGCUUUUAUAAUGUUCCCAGCACUGCAUUCGAAUUAGGAAGCAGCAGAGCAGUGCCAGGCCUCUGCUCAGACCCCACUGGGUCCACUGAGCAACUCGCAGAAUGUGACGGGCGGUGGCGACUGCAGGGAAGCCAGCCCCCGUCCACCCUGGGAAAGCCAGGGUCUCAGACGUUUCGGCUCCUGGGGCCCCCAGCCGCAGCCCAGCCCCGCCUCUGCAAAGGAGAUCUGGGAGGUCCUAGUGGACCCUCGCAGCCAGCAGUGCUAUCGGCAGGUGUUGUUUUCUGGGAAAGGGUGGCUUCAUCACGUGCUUGGAAAUCUAAGUCUCAGACACCAAGAAAGUAUUCGCGGGCAAGAUCUUGGCUAUGUCGCUGCUACUCAAGCUGUAUCAGAAGAAGGAGAAGGCGCCCAUGGAGAUGCGCACUCAUCGCAGCCUCGCCCACCAACACACCAUGGGCUUCCGUGGCAUUUUCAAGUACAAGGACUUGGUGUCGGAGCCCUGCUGCUGGAGAUCUCAGGGGAGGAAAGCACUGACCGAGCCUGAGGCCGCUAUUACCUCUUUGGAUGCCAGCACCUGCACUAAAACUGGGUUCAUCACUGGGACCUCAAGCUGGGCUAACUCUUACUCGGUUAGGAUCUGGAGGCGAAACUAGGGGAUUCUGAUGGGCAACCAAAGUCAAGUAAGACAAGGAGAGGAAGAAGCCCCUGGGCGGGACCCCUAAUAACAUAGCUCCGGAGCUGCUGAGCAAGAGGGCACGGUUUGGAAGUGGACAUGUCGUCCCUUGGGUGAGUCACAUAUUCCUUGUCAGUGGGCAAAGCACCUUUUGAG
ensembl:lncRNA